AGUCACUGACAUUAGAUACCCUGUAGUCCCAGCCGUAAACUAUGCGCGUUAGGUGUACUGGUGACCACGAGUCACCGGGGUGCCGAAGGGAAACCGUGAAACGUGCCGCCUGGGGAGUACGUCCGCAAGGAUGAAACUUAAAGGAAUUGGCGGGGGAGCACCGCAACGGGAGGAGCGUGCGGUUUAAUUGGAUUCAACACCGUAAAACUCACCAGGGAAGACUGUUACAUGAAGGCCGAGAUGAAGACUCUGCUAGAUUUUCAG
rnacentral:rRNA from 1 species